AAAAGAAUUAGUAAAAAAUUAAAAUUAAAUUAAAAUAAUAAUAGAUGUAGCUUUGUUUAACCAUACUUGUCAAAAUUACGUAUCUGCAAAAUACUAGAAACAUGAAAAAUAUAACAUAAAUAUAUACUUUACCAUUAACAUUACUUUUUUUAGAACCUAAAAUAGAAUAAACUCAAAUUUUGAACAUUCAAAAAUAAACCAUAGAUUUUUUGUAUUCACAAAGAAAUCCAAAUACCAAUAUAGAGUUAGAAAAAAAAUGAGAAAAAGUAAUUUUAGAUAACCCAUAAGUAGAGGACCUAAAUAACAUGUUAAUAUUUCUUUUCUUUGGAAAUAUAUGGCAAGUAAUUAAGAAUAGAUUGCCUAAAUAGCAAGUUAGUGCCUUUUUUGAAAAAAAUAAAUAAGCAAUAUUUGAACAAUGCUAAAAUAAAGGGUCCAUGUUUCAUUUCAAUGGUAUUUAAAGAAGGACAAUUUCAGAUAAACUAGA
rnacentral:misc_RNA from 1 species